rnacentral:rRNA from 1 species
UAUUGGACAAUGGGCGAAAGCCUGAUCCAGCGACGCCGCGUGGGUGAAGAAGGCCUGCGGGUUGUAAAGCCCUUUCAGUGGGGAAGAAAUGCCUCGAGUUAAUAUCUCGGGGUCUUGACGUAACCCAUAGAAGAAGCACCGGCUAACUCUGUGCCAGCAGCCGCGGUAAUACAGAGGGUGCGAGCGUUAAUCGGAAUUACUGGGCGUAAAGCGCGCGUAGGCGGUUUUGCAAGUCGGAUGUGAAAUCCCCGGGCUCAACCUGGGAACUGCAUUCGAGACUGCAUCGCUAGAGUAUGGGAGAGGGAAGUGGAAUUUCAGGUGUAGCGGUGAAAUGCGUAGAUAUCUGAAGGAACAUCAGUGGCGAAAGCGACUUCCUGGACCAAUACUGACGCUCAUGUGCGAAAGCGUGGGGAGCAAACAGG